UACGGGGGGGGCAAGCGUUGUUCGGAAUUACUGGGCGUAAAGGGCUCGUAGGUGGCCAACUAAGUCGGACGUGAAAUCCCCAGGCUUAACUUGGGAACUGCAUCCGAUACUGGAUGGCUUGAAUCCGGGAGAGGGAUGCGGAAUUCCAGGUGUAGCGGUGAAAUGCGUAGAUAUCUGGAGGAACACCGGUGGCGAAGGCGGCAUCCUGGACCGGCAUUGACGCUGAUGAGCGAAAGCCAGGGGAGCAAACGGG
rnacentral:rRNA from 1 species